UGAGGAAUAUUCUGCAAUGGGCGAAAGCCUGACAGAGCAAUACCGCGUGAGGGAUGAAGGCCUAUGGGUUGUAAACCUCUUUUCCCAAGGAAGAAGAUCUGACGUUACUUGGGGAAUAAGCAUCGGCUAACCCUGUGCCAGCAGCCGCGGUAAUACAGGGGAUGCAAGUGUUAUCCGGAAUUAUUGGGCGUAAAGCGCCUGCAGGUUGAUAUUUAAGUCUUUUGUUAAAUCUUUGAGCUUAACUCAAAAGGUGCAAAGGAAACUGAUUAUCUAGAGUAUGGUAGAGGUAAAGGGAAUUUCCAGUGGAGCGGUGAAAUGCGUAGAGAUUGGAAAGAACACCAAUGGCGAAGGCACUUUACUGGGCCAGUACUGACACUCAGAGGCGAAAGCUAGGGGAGCA
rnacentral:rRNA from 1 species